UACGUAGGGGGCAAGCGUUGUCCGGAUUUAUUGGGCGUAAAGAGCUCGUAGGUGGUUCGGUAAGUCGGAUGUGAAAUCUCCAGGCUCAACCUGGAGGGGUCAUUCGAUACUGCCGUGACUAGAGGUCGGUAGGGGAGUGUGGAAUUCCUGGUGGAGCGGUGAAAUGCGCAGAUAUCAGGAGGAACACCUAUGGCGAAGGCAGCUCUCUGGGACGGUACUGACGCUGAGACGCGAAAGCGUGGGGAGCGAACAGG
rnacentral:rRNA from 1 species